UACAGGGAGGCGAAGGCAGCCUUCCCUGGGAGAAAGAAAUGGUCCUCCAAGUCUGAGGGCUGUGUAGGCGGUAACCAGGCAGAGGCAGAAGGCAGGGCAAAACGUUUCUCCUCAGGACUAUUCAGUGCAACCCCAUCGUUGUCUGCUGCGCCCUGCCUUAUUCAAGGCUGCACCUGUCUCUUUAAAGCGCACCCUCGGGAGGGACGCGGGAGAGACCCGGCUCCGCCCACCUGCCGGCUGAGGUCCUCGGGAGUGUCUUCCGGGUGCUGCUGCCUCUUUAAGAGGGCGGGGCUCUGCCCGGAGGAGGCGAAGAAGUCCCUCCCUCCGGAUCUCCGGCUUCCGGCAACUCAGCUGGACGCAAACCCGAGCGGUGUACCUCAGGCCCGAACCUUCCCGGGAUCGGCUGGGCGCCGAGCCCCGCGAGAUGAGGAAGCUGAGGCCCCGAAGAGCGUACACACAGCAGAGAAGCCACAGAAUCGGGAAUCAAACCCAGACCCCUGUGAAUUUUCUUCCACAUAGUUGGGAGAAGACCCACUGACUGAAUGGCAGCUGUGGAUGACUUGCAGUUUGAAGAAUUUGGUGAUGCAACCACUUCUCUAGUAGCAAACCCAGAUGCCACCACAAUAAGCAUUGAGGAUCCUGGUGAAACCCCCAAGCAUCAACCAGGAACCCCAAGAGGCUCAGGGAGAGAAGAGGAUGAUGAGUUGCUGGGAAACGAUGACUCUGACAAAACUGAGUUACUUGCUGGACAGAAGAAAAGCUCUCCCUUCUGGACAUUUGAAUACUAUCAAACAUUCUUUGAUGUGGACACUUACCAGGUCUUUGACAGAAUAAAAGGGUCUCUUUUGCCAAUACCCGGAAAAAACUUUGUGAGGUUAUAUAUCCGCAGCAAUCCAGAUCUCUAUGGCCCCUUUUGGAUAUGUGCCACAUUGGUCUUUGCCAUAGCAAUUAGUGGGAAUCUUUCAAACUUCUUAAUCCAUCUGGGAGAGAAGACAUACCAUUAUGUGCCCGAAUUCCGAAAAGUGUCCAUAGCAGCCACCAUCAUCUAUGCCUAUGCCUGGCUGGUUCCUCUCGCCCUCUGGGGUUUUCUCAUGUGGAGAAACAGCAAAGUUAUGAACAUCGUUUCCUAUUCGUUUCUGGAGAUUGUGUGUGUCUAUGGCUAUUCGCUCUUCAUUUAUAUUCCCACAGCAAUACUGUGGAUUAUCCCUCAGAAAGCUGUUCGUUGGAUUCUAGUCAUGAUUGCCCUGGGCAUCUCAGGAUCUGUCUUGGCAAUGACAUUUUGGCCAGCUGUUCGUGAGGAUAACCGGCGCAUUGCAUUGGCCACAAUCGUGACGAUUGUGUUGCUUCAUAUGCUUCUUUCUGUGGGCUGCUUGGCAUACUUUUUUGAUGCACCAGAGAUGGAUCAUCUUCCAACAACUACAGCUACUCCAAACCAAACAGUUGCAGCAGCCAAGUCCAGCUAGCAAGGAAAUAAGAAAAUGCAAACUCCUUGAAUUGCCAUGAUCUGCCCCUAAGUUCUUUUAUGUUCUUGGGAGCGUGGUUCUUCUGGACAUGGCCUCCGUGGCAGGAAGGCAGAGUGGCCAAAGCCAGCAGGAAACCGAUAGAUGGUGCCUCACUGAAGCCUCAUCACCUGUUUAAUAAAAAAAAAAAAAAAAAAUGUUGCUCUCGGGG